UACGGGAAGGCAGCAGUGGGGAAUAUUGCACAAUGGGCGCAAGCCUGAUGCAGCCAUGCCGCGUGUAUGAAGAAGGCCUUCGGGUUGUAAAGUACUUUCAGUCGUGAGGAAGGUGUUAAGGUUAAUAACCUUAGCAAUUGACGUUAGCGACAGAAGAAGCACCGGCUAACUCCGUGCCAGCAGCCGCGGUAAUACGGAGGGUGCGAGCGUUAAUCGGAAUUACUGGGCGUAAAGGGCACGCAGGCGGUUAAUUAAGUUGGAUGUGAAAUCCCCGGGCUUAACCUGGGAAUGGCAUUCAAGACUGGUUAGCUAGAGUCUUGUAGAGGGGGUAGAAUUCCAUGUGUAGCGGUGAAAUGCGUAGAGAUGUGGAGGAAUACCGGUGGCGAAGGCGGCCCCUGGGACAAAGGACUGACGCUCAUGUGCGAAAGCGUGGGGAGCAAAC
rnacentral:rRNA from 1 species